rnacentral:rRNA from 1 species
GAUUGAUCCCGUCGGACCCCACUGCUAUCGAGAUGGGACUAAGGUAUGCUAGUCGAACGACCAGAACUAUGUCUGGAAGUGGCACACUGCUCAGUAACACGUAGCAACCUACCCUUAGGACGUGGAUACCCCCGAGAAAUUGGGGUUAAUCCGCGAUAGAUGUAAUGUCCUGGAAUGGUAUUACAUCUAAAGGUAUUUCAUACAUGUUUGAAAUAUGCCUAAGGAUGGGGCUGCGGCCGAUCAGGCUGUUGGUGAGGUAAUGGCUCACCAAACCUUCGACCGGUACGGGCCAUGAGAGUGGUAGCCCGGAGAUGGACACUGAGACAAGGGUCCAGGCCCUAAGGGGCGCAGCAACCGCGAAACCUCCACAAUGCACUCACGUGCGAUGGGGCUAUCUCGAGUGCCACCUGAUGAAGGUGGCUUUUCCUAGGUCUUCAAAGCCUUGGGAAUAAGAGGGGGGCAAGACUGGUGUCAGCCGCCGCGGUAACACCAGCCCCUCGAGUGGUGGGGAUGAUUAUUUGGCCUAAAGCGUCCGUAGCCGGCCGAGCAAGUCUUCCGUUAAAUCCAGCGUCUCAAGCGUUGGACCGCGGGAGAUACUACACGGCUAGAGAGUGGGAGAGGUCAGCGGUAUUCUGGGGGUAGGGGCGAAAUCCUUUGAUCCCCGGAGGACCACCAGUGGCGAAGGCUGCUGACUAGAACACGUCUGACGGUCAGGGACGAAAGCUGGGGUAGCGAACCGGAUUAGAUACCCGGGUAGUCCCAGCCGUAAACGAUGCAUGCUAGGUGUUGGGUUGGCCACGAGCCACCCCAGUGCCGCAGGGAAGCCGUUAAGCAUGCCGCCUGGGAAGUACGAUCGCAAGAUUGAAACUUAAAGGAAUUGGCGGGGGAGCACCACCAGGCGUGAAGCCUGCGGUUUAAUUGGAGUCAACGCCGGGAACCUUACCGGGAGCGACAGCAGAAUGAAGGCCAGAUUGAAGAUCUUGCCAGACGAGCUGAGAGGAGGUGCAUGGCCGUCGCCAGUUCGUGCCGUGAGGUGUUCUCUUAAGUGAGAUAACGAACGAGACCCGUGCCACAUGUUGCCACCAGUAUCUAAAGGAUAGCUGAGCACUCUUGUGGGACCGCAGCCGAUAAGGCUGAGGAAGGUACGGGCAACGGCAGGUCAGUAUGCCCCGAAUCUCCCGGGCCACACGCGGGCUGCAAUGGUACAGACAGAGGGCUGCCACCCCGAAAGGGGGAGCCAAUCCCUAAACUGUACCUCAGUUGGGAUCGAGGGUUGCAACCCACCCUCGUGAACAUGGAAUGCCUAGUAACCGCCAGUCAUCAUCUGGCGGUGAAUACGUCCCUGCUCCUUGCACACACUGCCCGUCGAACCACCCGAAUGAGGUUUGGGUGAGGAAUGGUCGAAUGUUGGCCGUUUCGAACCUGGGCCUCGUAAGGAGGGUUAAGUCGUAACAAGGUG